GAACCAAUGGUGCAGUGAUAGCACAACAGUCCGGUCAUUUGUGGACGGUGGGUUUGAUUCCCCCUGGGUUCA